rnacentral:rRNA from 1 species
AUGGAACUCGGUGCUGGAGGCCGUUGCGGCUGGAGUGCCGAUGUUGUGCCUGCCGCUGGAAGCGGAGCAGAAGAUGAACAAGGUGUGCAUGACAGAGGACAUGGGCGUCGCUCUCGAGCUGGAGGAAUACAUGGCAAGUUUUGUAAGGCAGAGGAGGUGGAUGCCAAGGUGAGGCUGGUGAUCGAGGGCGAGGAUGGGAGGCAGCUCAGGGCCCGGGUGGCUGCUCGCAGGGAAGAGGCCAAGGCGGCGCUGGAGGAAGGGGGCUCGUCGCGGGCGUCGUUUGCCCGGUUUUUGUUGGACGUGGACAAUCUCGGAAAGCAGCUCAGCGAGUGA